UUUCUUCUUCUUCUGCGAAAUUUAGCCAUGGCAAAGAUCUUCAGCUUCAGUAUGUGGCUCAUUUUGGCCGCGUUUUCUAUAAUAUUUGCUGCGAUGCCCAUGAUGGUCAUAGCUGCGCCUAAUCCCCCUAAUCUCUCAUUUGGACAAGCCGAAACGGGACCAGCAGCAGCAAGUGCCACUGUGUCGCCCCUUCUACGAAGACGAUGAACAUCGUCAUGAGUAUCACUGGACCACACCAGCUGCACGAACUGGACUGGACUGCACAAUAAAGGAAUACGGCUCACCA